AUUGAACGCUGGCGGCAGGCCUAACACAUGCAAGUCGAGCGGCAGCGGGAAAGUAGCUUGCUACUUUUGCCGGCGAGCGGCGGACGGAUGAGUAAUGCCUGGGAAAUUGCCCAGUCGAGGGGGAUAACAGUUGGAAACGACUGCUAAUACCGCAUACGCCCUACGGGGGAAAGCAGGGGACCUUCAGGCCUUGCGCGAUUGGAUAUGCCCAGGUGGGAUUAGCCAGUUGGUGAGGUAAUGGCUCACCAAGGCCACGAGCCCUAGCAGGUCUGAGAGCAUGCUCAGCCACACUGGAACUGAGACACGGACCAGACUCCUACGGGAGGCAGCAGGGGGGAAUAUUGCACGAUGGGGGAAACCCGGAUGCAGCCAUGCCGCGUGUAUGAAGAAGGCCUUCGGGUUGUAAAGCACUUUCAGCGAGGAGGAAAGGUUGAUGCCUAAUACGUAUCAACUGUGACGUUACUCGCAGAAGAAGCACCGGCUAACUCCGUGCCAGCCGCCGCGGUAACAC
rnacentral:rRNA from 1 species